AAUAGAAAGGAAAAGGGAAGGAAAAAUAGAAAGGAAGAGAGGAAGAAAAAUGGAAAGUAUGAGAUACUUGUCCAGAAAUUAGAUUGUUCAUGUGUUUUAUAUAAAAUCUGAUUAGAGUGUGGUGAGAUCUGUUGGAAAAUAAUUUCUAAAGAUAUUGUAAUGGAGGUCAUGAAAGCAUACAAGCUAUGGUGCAAUGAGUUCUUGCAAAGGACAGUCGGUAGUGUACUUGCAAAGAUGGCUGCAACACCAUGACAAGUUGGGAAGGGUCCCAAUCAAUCCUGUGUGGAUCACC
rnacentral:lncRNA from 1 species